rnacentral:lncRNA from 12 species
AUAAAUUAGUUUUAAGUAAAAUACAUGCAACCAUCCUACUCAAAGGCUUUCAUGAAUACUUUUCAGAGCAUGUGAUUUAUUUUAAUAUUCCUUUUGCAGGUAAAAAGGGUUGUAAAUAGCUCCUAUUUAGUUGGUGGGAAAAGUGAGUCAUUGUAAGGUGGGUGUGACAGGCCUAAAGUCCCAACAUUUUACUUUCGUCUAGUUCUUUGCGACCGGAUCUUCCUCAAAAAUUCUUUUUUUAAGUUUGCGCUUUGUUGAAGCCACUUAAUUUGUAGUGAAUAUGAUAAUGACAUUAUAAAAUAUGAACAAAAUCUAAGAAAGGUACAACUGUGACUGAAGACUUUCAGAACUUUGAAAAAAAUUUUGUUUUUUACUGAAAAGUAAAUUUGUUGAAACUAGACUUUUGAUGAAAUUUAAAUUUUUUAUUUUUCACAAGAGUUGCCCCAAAGAGUCCUUUAUGAAAUAUCCAAAGCUAACACCCAAUGCCGGGGACCUGGCACCCCACGGGUUGGCUGAGAGCAGCAGGUGCACCGGGAGCCCAGCUGGAAGUGCUGUGCUCAGGCCAGUGCUGGGCUUCGGAGCUGGGCCUCCUGCAGUGGGAGGAGCUCGGACCGCUGGAAGCAAGACCUCGGGGCUUCCAGAUGCUUCUGUGGCGCUGGAGCUGCAGUGCAGAGGCGCGGGGCCUUGGGAGCAUCCCGGGCGGCCCAGCUCAGGGACAUGCGGCCCAGCUCGGGGGCAGCCCAGCUCGAGGGACACGUGGCCUAGCUCGGGGGACAUGUGGCCCAGCUCAGGGGACAUGCGGCCCAGCUCAGGGACACAUGGCCCAGCUUGGGGAUACUUGGCCCAGCUCAGGGAUACUUGGCCCAGCUCGGGGACCAUGUUGCCCAGCUUGGGGACACUUGGCCCAGCUUGGGAACACUCAGCCCAGCUCGGGGACAUGCGGCCCAGUGCCAGGGCAGCCCAGCUCGGGGACACUCAGCCCAGCUCGGGGACACGUGGUCCAGCUCCAGGGCGGCCAGCUCGGGGGACACGUGGCCCAGCUCCAGGGCAGCGGAGCUCGGGGACCAUGUGGCCCAGCUUGGGGACACUUGGCCCAGCUCGGGGACACUCAGUCCAGCUUGGGGACAUGCGGCCCAGUGCCAGGGCAGCCCAGCUUGGGAGACACGUGGCCCAGCUUGGGGACUGCGGCCCAGCUCCAGGGCGGCCCAGCUCGGGGGACACGUGGCCCAGCUCCAGGGCGGC